UCUCCUCUAACCUCUCCACAGCCGCCACGCCUCCAUCACCUCCACAGCCGCCGCACCCCCAUCUGCCCCCACCGCUGCCGCGACCACAUCUCCGACACCGCCGGCGGCCUUCGCGCACCCAUCUCCUCCUCCGUAUGGGGCGGCCAGCACGCCCCAUCUCCUCCGCCUCCACCGGUCGACGCGCAGCCUUCUCCUGCACCUCCGACAGCCGGCGCGCCCCAUCAAUUGCACCUCCGACGGCCGGCGCGCCACAUCUCCUUCUCCAGAUCCGGCGCGUCCCAUCUCCUUCUCCAGUUCUGGUUGCCGGCGUGCCCCAUCUCCUCAACCUUCGACGGCUGGCGCGACCCAUCUCCUCCACCACCGAUGGCCGGCGCGCGCCAUCUCCUCAUGCGGCAGGCGCUAGCGCUAGUCCACGCGGAGCCCCGGGUGCGCCGGCCGCCGUGCCCUCGGACGCGCCAUGAGGCUCCAUGGCUUGCCUGCCCGCCGCUGCUUAUGCACCCCCAUGGGCCCUCCCCCGAGCGCCGCAUUCACCGCAUUGACCAGCUGCAGGUGUUUGAUGAGAUGAAGCACCACCUCAAGGAGAUGAAGGAGGCCGCCACGCUUCGUGAGAUGCAGGCCAAGGUCACCCAGGAGAUGCAAGGUUCGGGCCCCCUUCCCUCCCCCGUGUGCACUACUUUCCCCCUUGAAAUUGACAAUAUCUGAAGAAGGGUGCGAAUUAGCUGAUUGGAUUAGAACCUGGAAGCGAUAUGAUGUGCUGGGUUGCUUAUUUUUGUUGAUGUGUGGAAUGCAGGGUGGUUGGGAAAUCAACUUGCAUAUGCUUAUGGGUAGAUGUGUUUUGGCUGAUUGAGUUAGAAACUAGUAGUUAUAUGGUUGGUUAGGAAUCUUGAAUUAAAUUGUAUCCCACUAUUUUAUCAUGGUCUCCCUAUCACUUUAACAAAAUUUUAAGAUUCCUUUCUAUUUGCACAUAAUAAACUGCCACGUGCAUCUUGGAUUGCCACUACCAACUUGGAUUUGCUAAUUUGUGCACCUUGCAGAUAACUCCAUGUUUGUGUAGAUCAAUAGCUAAGUAGUAUAUUGCUAAGGCUAAUUUUCAUCUGUACCUCACAACUAACCAUGAAAGUAUCUUUGAUAUUUUUUAUCCUUGUAUGUCAACUCUAAGUGUCUAUUGCUUGAAAGCAUGGAUAUAUAGAAUCUAAUUUCUAAGCAGCGGUCCUGCAUGUCAACUCGCUGUGGUAACUAGUACAUUUCUCCCCUGUUUGCUUUGCCAUUCAUGCUCCAUGGUUGAAUUAUUCUGGUUCUGGUACCUUUUAGUACUAGCUGUGUGGAUGUGAUGAGAUAAAAUUUGAAAUCUGAGCAUGUGUUUUCAUCUUGUUGCGAGGCCAAUGCUGCUCGUCUCCAAACCAGGGUGUCAUGUGCCAACAAAGAGAGAUGUGCAGCAACGGCUCAAGCUCUGAUUUUAGAUAAUCAACACAAGCAGUGAGGCUUUGGGCAGCUAGCCAGGGAUGGUAUCAGAUUGCUGAGGUUCAGAUCAACAAGAGCAAUGCAUCAGCUCAGCUUGUCAGAGAGGGAGACAGUGAACAAGGUGAGAGGGAGGACAACACACCCCAUUGCAAGAGAUUGAAAAUUUGAAGAUGGCAACGAAGGGGUUGAUCCAUUACUUUUUUUUGUUACCUUCUAAUUUAUGAUGAAAUGCCACUGCAUAUUGUCUUGUAUCUUGUGAAAAUUGGUAUUGUAAUUCUGAAAAUGGGUUUGUAAUAGCUUAUUGUGACUUCUGGAUGGAACUUUUCUUUAAUAAGUGGGCUGGAAAAAUUGGUGGGCUGUUUUUUAUA